rnacentral:lncRNA from 1 species
CCUCCUCUUCCUCCACCUCACUGCCCGCUGAAUCGCGAUCAAACCUCGACUCUGUAACAACUGGGAUGUGAUUUCCAUUCUCCCGUUCUUCCUCUUCACUCAUUUCUUCUUCGCUCACUUCUUCAGCUGACUGCUCCGACACCUCCUCAGAAUUGCUCCCUGUCUCCUCCUCUUCCUCCUCCUCCUCCUCUUCUCCCUCUUCCUCAGAUCCUUCACUGCUCGACUCUUCUUCCUCUUCUUCUGAGCCCGACCCAGACUCUGAUGAAGACUCAGCUGAGCUUGUUUUUCUCUCACUGUCACUGAUGUCUUGCAAGUCGGAAAGAGGGUCUCUCUCUUCUGGUUUCUCUUCUUUCACUGGUUUCCUGCUAUCUGCUUGCUCAGGCUUGUCUCUCUGCUGUCGUAAUGGGCUGCGACUCCAGGGUCUCAUUUUCACUUUGUCUCCAUAUUCUUCCCUCACUGUUCUAUGGUGUGCAGAAACUUCUCUUCUGGCUUCCCGCUCCUUACGCCUUUCUUCAGCUCUCCUUUCACGUUCUUUUUGCUCCCUCUGUUCUUUCUGCUGCUCUCUGAUUUUUCUCUCUCGUUCUCUCUCAAGUUGCUCCAGGCGAUCUCUCUCCCUCCUGGAAUGCUCCCUCGCCAUUUCUCUCCGUUUCUGCCUCUCCCACUCACGUCGGGCCUUAUCCUGCUCUUCUCUAUGCCUCUUCCUACGCUCGUGCUCCCGUUCUUUCUCCUUCACUCUGGCAUGUUUCCCUUCUGCUGAAUGACUGCGGUGUCUCCGUUUCUCUUUCCUCUUCUCAUCUUUUCUAUGAUGGGUUUUUUCUUUCCGUGACAUUUGCUGUGGUGGUUUUAUAGCCAAGGAAUCAUCUUCUUCUCCUCUGUCCUCCAUGGAGUCCUCCCUGCGGUACGGCGAAUUGCGGAUCGUGAUCUCCAUGCGGUGAUCUCUCAGCUCCCCCUCUUCAAGAGAAUCCCGCUUGGAAUCCCUGUCAUCCGAGUUUUUCAUGCGCUUUAUCUCUGCUUUCUCCUCUUGCUCCUUCCUCCGUUUCUUCUCCUGAAGGAUUUCAUCCAAGGUUUUCACUUUCCAAGAAU